rnacentral:rRNA from 1 species
UACGAAGGGGGCUAGCGUUGCUCGGAAUCACUGGGCGUAAAGCGCACGUAGGCGGAUCUUUAAGUCAGGGGUGAAAUCCUGGAGCUCAACUCCAGAACUGCCUUUGAUACUGGGAAUCUAGAGUCCGGAAGAGGUGAGUGGAACUCCGAGUGUAGAGGUGAAAUUCGUAGAUAUUCGGAAGAACACCAGUGGCGAAGGCGGCUCACUGGUCCGGUACUGACGCUGAGGUGCGAAAGCGUGGGGAGCAAACAGG